rnacentral:rRNA from 11 species
AUGGCCGUUCUUAGUUGGUGGAGUGAUUUGUCUGGUUAAUUCCGUUAACGAGCGAGACCUUGACCUGCUAAUUAGCCCCGUCGGUGGCAACGCCUUCGUGAUGGCUUCUUAGAGGGACGAUCCGCGUUAUUAGUGGAUGGAGGAAUGAGGCAAUAACAGGUCUGUGAUGCCCUUAGAUGUCCUGGGCCGCACGCGCGCUACAAUGGUGCAGACAAUGAGUGCUGCUCCUGGUCCGAAAGGAUUGGGGAAUCUUGGAAACUGCAUCGUGAUAGGGAUAGAUGAUUGCAAUUUUUCAUCUUGAACGAGGAAUGCCUUGUAAGCGCGAGUCAUCAACUCGCGCUGAAUACGUCCCUGCCCUUUGUACACACCGCCCGUCGCUCCUACCGAUUGGAUGGCCCGGUGAAAUGCUCGGACGAGUGUUCAGAGCCGCCACGAUCGUGGCGCUCUUCCUCGGAAGUGCAGUGAGCCUUGUCAUCUAGAGGAAGGAGAAGUCGUAACAAGGUUUCCGUAGGUGAACCUGCGGAAGGAUCAU